AACAAAGAAAAUAGUGGCCAUCCCCAGCCAAGAAUGAAAUUCGGGUCUCUCAAGGACCCCACAAGUCUUGGAUUAAAUCAUUCACUCCCAUACCACCUGGUUUUGGGAUCUUAAGCAGCAUGCGAACUGACGACGACGAUAACAAUAACGACGACGAAUAUUCUUCUCCAGAAUCCAUGAGAAAGAAGAGCACAAACAGAACAAGGUUCGAACAGAUCAAAUCACUCGAAUCAAUUUUCGAGUGAGAGUCAAGGUUUGAGCCCACAAAGAAGUUGCAGCUGGCCGCUUAGCUGGGGUUGCACCCACGUCAGGUUUCAAUAUGGUUUCAGAACAAGCGAGACUACAGCACAACAUUCAAGCUCUCAACAACGAUAACCAAGCGUUGGCUGCACAGAAUUGCAGAUAAAAUGCAACGCCCAUAAUCAGCAGGGGAACCAGAAUUUGCAGUAGUGUUAGCAAGGAUCCUGAAGAUUCAGCCGACGACGUCGUUGCUUUCACCGAUUGGGAUGCAGCUAGUCGAUAAUCGAUCGGUUUUGGGACCGUAGACAUGUCAACAUUGCCAAUGUAAUACUUUUCCAUUUGCUCUAUUGCAGAUAGACUGUGACCCACAUUUUCAAAAUCAUCUGUUGCAUCUUUCUCUGCAUAAACUCAACAUUGUUUUUCCGAUCA